rnacentral:rRNA from 1 species
CCUUUACUAUAGCUUUACAUUGAGUUUGGGCAGACGAUGU